rnacentral:rRNA from 1 species
UUAUUUGAGAGUUUGAUCCUGGCUCAGGACGAACGCUGGCGGCGUGCCUAAUACAUGCAAGUUGAGCGCUGAAGGUUGGUACUUGUACCAACUGGAUGAGCAGCGAACGGGUGAGUAACGCGUGGGGAAUCUGCCUUUGAGCGGGGGACAACAUUUGGAAACGAAUGCUAAUACCGCAUAAAAACUUUAAACACAAGUUUUAAGUUUGAAAGAUGCAAUUGCAUCACUCAAAGAUGAUCCCGCGUUGUAUUAGCUAGUUGGUGAGGUAAAGGCUCACCAAGGCGAUGAUACAUAGCCGACCUGAGAGGGUGAUCGGCCACAUUGGGACUGAGACACGGCCCAAACUCCUACGGGAGGCAGCAGUAGGGAAUCUUCGGCAAUGGACGAAAGUCUGACCG